AUUGAACGCUGGCGGCAGGCUUAACACAUGCAAGUCGAGCGGAGAUGAGGUGCUUGCACCUUAUCUUAGCGGCGGACGGGUGAGUAAUGCUUAGGAAUCUGCCUAUUAGUGGGGGACAACAUUCCGAAAGGAAUGCUAAUACCGCAUACGUCCUACGGGAGAAAGCAGGGGAUCUUCGGACCUGCGCUAAUAGAUGAGCCUAAGUCGGAUUAGCUAGUUGGUGGGGUAAAGGCCUACCAAGGCGACGAUCUGUAGCGGGUCUGAGAGGAUGAUCCGCCACACUGGGACUGAGACACGGCCCAGACUCCUACGGGAGGCAGCAGUGGGGAAUAUUGGAAAAUGGGGGGAACCCUGAUCCAGCCAUGCCGCGUGUGUGAAGAAGGCCUUAUGGUUGUAAAGCACUUUAAGCGAGGAGGAGGCUACUGAGACUAAUACUCUUGGAUAGUGGACGUUACUCGCAGAAUAAGCACCGGCUAACUCUGUGCCAGCAGCCGCCGUAACAC
rnacentral:rRNA from 1 species